rnacentral:rRNA from 1 species
AUUGAACGCUGGCGGCAGGCCUAACACAUGCAAGUCGAGCGAGAAAGGUCUUCGGACUGAGUACAGCGGCGGACGGGUGAGUAAUGCGCAGGAAUCUACCUGGUAGUGGGGAUAACUCGGGGAAACUCGAACUAAUACCGCAUACGCCCUACGGGGGAAAGCGGGGGACCUUCGGGCCUCGCGCUAUCAGAUGAGCCUGCGUAGGAUUAGCUUGUUGGUGAGGUAAAGGCUCACCAAGGCGACGAUCCUUAGCUGGUCUGAGAGGAUGAUCAGCCACACUGGAACUGAGACACGGUCCAGACUCCUACGGGAGGCAGCAGUGGGGAAUAUUGCGCAAUGGGCGAAAGCCUGACGCAGCCAUGCCGCGUGUGUGAAGAAGGCCCUUGGGUUGUAAAGCACUUUCAAUUGGGAAGAAAGGUUGCGUGUUAAUAGCACGUAGCUGUGACGUUACCUUUAGAGAAGCACCGGCUAACUCCGUGCCAGCAG